rnacentral:rRNA from 1 species
UACGGAGGGGGCUAGCGUUGUUCGGAUUUACUGGGCGUAAAGGGCGCGUAGGCGGCGUAACAAGUCACUUGUGAAAUCUCCGGGCUUAACCCGGAGCGGCCAAGUGAUACUGUUGUGCUAGAGUGCGGAAGGGGCUACUGGAAUUCUCGGUGUAGCGGUGAAAUGCGUAGAUAUCGAGAGGAACACCUGCGGCGAAGGCGGGUAGCUGGGCCGACACUGACGCUGAGGCGCGAAAGCCAGGGGAGCGAACGGG